AUGGACCUCUGCUUUCAUGCCCCAGCCAAGUUCCCUCGAGGAGACGAGGACAAGCAACGCAGCAGCAGAAGCAGGGAGAUAUCCAACUACAUGAUCUACCUGCUUUCCUCCCGUCCUGAGAUGCUAAUGCCCGGCACUAGACCAAGCCUCUUCACCAUUGCCGGCAACGAGAUCGAGCUCAUCUUGAAGCAUAGCAGCGCGGCGCCGCUUGACAAAGAAGAGAGUCUUGCACGGGAGAUUAUCAUCAUGGCAAAGUCACCAUCAGUCAUAGCCAAAUGUAGUCUGAUUCCUGAUGCAUGGAGGCUCGCUGAGGCACUAAUGAAGCUGGGUGACGAGGAGAUGUGGAUGGUGAUCCAAGCUACAUGGGUGGAGAUGCUCUGCUACUCUGCUGUCAGAUGCAGAGGGUACCUCCAUGCCAAGAGCCUAGGCGAAGGCGGUGAAUGCCUAACAAGCAUCUGGCUCCUCUGGUCAUUCAUGGGGAUGGAGACCUUGGCAGACAAGCUUCAGAGGCCACAUCCAUCUUGUUAUGAAGCCGACGCAGGCGCACCACGGCCUUCACAGUCCCAAUCUAGAGAGAUCUUCAGCCCAGUCUGA
rnacentral:rRNA from 1 species